rnacentral:rRNA from 1 species
CGGACGGGUGAGUAAUGUCUGGGAAACUGCCCGAUGGAGGGGGAUAACUACUGGAAACGGUAGCUAAUACCGCAUAACGUCGCAAGACCAAAGAGGGGGACCUUCGGGCCUCUUGCCAUCGGAUGUGCCCAGAUGGGAUUAGCUAGUAGGUGGGGUAACGGCUCACCUAGGCGACGAUCCCUAGCUGGUCUGAGAGGAUGAUCAGCCACACUGGGACUGAGACACGGCCCAG